rnacentral:rRNA from 1 species
CCAAUAGCGUAUAUUAAAGUUGUUGCAGUUAAAAAGCUCGUAGUUGAACUUCGGGAUUUGUUCAUUGGUCAGGCUUUACUGUCUGUACUGGUGUAACGAAUUUCUUCCUUCUGAUGAAUCUUCAUGCCAUUCACUUGGUGCGGAGGGGAAUCAGGACUGUUACUUUGAAAAAAUUAGAGUGUUUAAAGCAGGCUAUUGCUCGAAUACAUUAGCAUGGAAUAAUAAAAUAGGACGGUUGGUUCUAUUUUGUUGGUUUCUAGGAUCACCGUAAUGAUUAAUAGGGAUAGUUGGGGGCAUUAGUAUUCAAUUGUCAGAGGUGAAAUUCUUGGAUUUAUUGAAGACUAACUACUGCGAAAGCAUUUGCCAAGGAUGUUUUCAUUAAUCAAGAACGAAAGUUAGGGGAUCGAAGACGAUCAGAUACCGUCGUAGUCUUAACCAUAAACUAUGCCGACUAGGGAUCGGACGAAGUUAAUUUUUAAAUGACUCGUUCGGCACCUUACG